rnacentral:rRNA from 1 species
AACGAACGCUGGCGGCAUGCCUAACACAUGCAAGUCGAACGAUCCCUUCGGGGUUAGUGGCGCACGGGUGCGUAACGCGUGGGAAUCUGUCCUUUGCUUCGGAAUAACAGUUAGAAAUGACUGCUAAUACCGGAUGAUGUCUUCGGACCAAAGAUUUAUCGGCAAAGGAUGAGCCCGCGUAGGAUUAGGUAGUUGGUGGGGUAAAGGCCUACCAAGCCGACGAUCCUUAGCUGGUCUGAGAGGAUGAUCAGCCACACUGGGACUGAGACACGGCCCAGACUCCUACGGGAGGCAGCAGUGGGGAAUAUUGGACAAUGGACGAAAGUCUGAUCCAGCAAUGCCGCGUGAGUGAUGAAGGCCUUAGGGUUGUAAAGCUCUUUUACCAGGGAUGAUAAUGACAGUACCUGGAGAAUAAGCUCCGGCUAACUCCGUGCCAGCCGCCGCGGUAAGAC